UACGUAGGGGGCUAGCGUUGUCCGGAAUCAUUGGGCGUAAAGAGCGUGUAGGCGGCCCGGUAAGUCCGCUGUAAAAGUCAAAGGCUCAACCUUUGAAUGUCAGUGGAUACUGCCGGGCUAGAGUCCGGAAGAGGCGAGUGGAACUCCUGGUGUAGCGGUGGAAUGCGCAGAUAUCAGGAGGAACACCAAUAGCGAAGGCAGCUCGCUGGGACGGUAUUGACGCUAAGGCGCGAAAGCGUGGGGAGCAAACAGG
rnacentral:rRNA from 1 species